rnacentral:rRNA from 1 species
UACGUAGGGGGCUAGCGUUGUCCGGAAUCAUUGGGCGUAAAGCGCGCGUAGGCGGCCCGGUAAGUCCGCUGUAAAAGUCAAAGGCUCAACCUUUGAAUGUCAGUGGAUACUGCCGGGCUAGAGUCCGGAAGAGGCGAGUGGAACUCCUGGUGUAGCGGUGAAAUGCGUAGAUAUCAGGAGGAAUACCGAUGGCGAAGGCAGGUCUCUGGGCUGACACUGACGCUCAUGCACGAAAGCGUGGGGAGCAAACAGG